rnacentral:tRNA from 1 species
GCGGCCGGCGGGUCGCCGGUUCUGCCAUCCAGCGUCGGCGAUGCGGGCGGCGGGCGCGUCGGACCGGGGACGCAUCUGUUCGGCGCAGAUCGGGCCGUGC